AAGAGAGUUGCCCUUCGGGUAUACCUCCCACCCUUUGUUAUUAUACCUUUGUUGCUUUGGCGGGCCCGUCCUCGGACCACCGGCUUCUGCUGGUCAGUGCCCGCCAGAGGACCUAAAACUCUGUUUGUUAAUAUUGUCUGAGUACUAUAUAAUAGUUA
rnacentral:misc_RNA from 1 species